UUAAUCAUCGCUGCAGUGCCAGACACAGUAUUUUUAUUAGAGCAGAUUAAUACGCCUUCACGUGCAUGGUCUGUGUUACCUGCUGUAGCAUCAUCCAAAAGGAUCUGAACCACCUGGGCAUCCCAAUACCACACUACCGCACUGAUGACCUCAUGCUGAUGGGACAGGAUGCACAAGAGUGACUCUGUUGCAGGCUUUGUCACAGUUUCCAAGAACCUAUUGAUGACGUUAAGUGGAAACGUGCUGUGCUUGAAGACAGUGCCAGUCUGAAGCUUACACUCUGUUCCUUCAAGCUCUUCCUCCUGCCAUCAAGUGUCUUACCUUCCUGUUUGCUCCAGUUGCCAGUGUCCUCUGGAAACACAGCACCCGUGAGGAAGUCCUUGUACUCCUGGCACAGACUGACAGAUCCCUGACCAAGGCACUGUUUGUAAGAAAAGGGAGCAAGAUAAAGAGACCAACAUGCACCCGGAGAGGAAAGGACAGCCACACACAUGUCACUUAGCCUGAAAACAAACAGCC